rnacentral:tRNA from 1 species
GCCUGGGUGGCUCAGUCGGUUGAGCGUCUGAUUUCAGCUCAGGUCACGAGCUCACCCUACGUGGGUUUGAGCCCCGCUCAGGGCU